UGAGGAAUAUUGGACAAUGGAGGGAACUCUGAUCCAGCCACGCCGCGUGCAGGAAUAAGGCCUUAUGGGUUGUAAACUGCUUUUAUAUGGGAAUAAACCGCCCCACGUGUUGGGGUGCUGAAGGUACCGUAUGAAUAAGUACCGGCUAACUCCGUG
rnacentral:rRNA from 1 species